CGGCUUAAUUUGACUCAACGCGGGACAACUUACCAGGCCCGACGACCGUAUGAGUGUAACACACGAUAGGUCGAAGAGUGGUGCAUGGCCGUUAACGACGAGUGGAGUGAUCUUUGGGUUAAGUCCGUAAAUUAGUGAGACCUCAGCCGUAAGGGACAGGUGCGCAAAGCACAGGAAGGAUGGGUCAAGGACAGGUCAGUGAUGCCCUUAGAUGGUCCGGGCUGCACGCGCACUACAGUGGUCGCCGAAAUUACCUGAUAAUUUUAAAGGCGAUCGAGAGGAAAUGAGCUUUGUAAGAGGCUCAGGAACGAGGAAUUGCUAGUAAUCGCGGACUCAUUAAGACGCGAUGAAUACGUCCCUGUUCUUUGUACACACCGCCCGUCGUUAUCGAAGAUGAAGAUAGGCGCGAACGAUCUACCAGAAAGUGAGCGCAGGUCUUUAGAUCUGAUACAAGUCGUAACAAGGUAGCUGUAGGAGAACCUGUAGCUGG
rnacentral:rRNA from 1 species